rnacentral:rRNA from 1 species
UAGGGAAUCUUCGGCAAUGGGGGGAACCCUGACCGAGCAACGCCGCGUGAGUGAAGAAGGUUUUCGGAUCGUAAAGCUCUUUUGUUAAGGAAGAACGAGUGUGAGAAUGGAAAGUUCAUACUGUGACGGUACUUAACCAGAAAGGGACGGCUAACUACGUGCCAGCAGCCGCGGUAAUACGUAGGUCCCGAGCGUUGUCCGGAUUUAUUGGGCGUAAAGCGAGCGCAGGCGGUUAGAUAAGUCUGAAGUUAAAGGCAGUGGCUCAACCAUUGUAGGCUUUGGAAACUGUUUAACUUGAGUGCAGAAGGGGGGGGUGGAAUUCCAGGUGUAGCGGUGAAAUGCGUAGAUAUAUGGAGGAACACCGGUGGCGAAAGCGGCUCGCUGGUCUGUAACUGACGCUGAGGGUAGAAAGCGUGGGGAGCGAACAGG